GAUGAACGCUAGCUACAGGCUUAACACAUGCAAGCCGAGGGGUAACGAGAGGAAAGCUUGCUUUCCUUGUCGACGACCGGCGCACGGGUGAGUAACGCGUAUCCAACCUGCCCCCAACUAGGGAAUAACCUUGCGAAAGUAAGACUAAUACCCUAUAAUUUCCUCAGAUGUCAUCUGACGAGGAAUAAAGAUUUAUCGGUUGUGGAUGGGGAUGCGUUUGAUUAGCUUGUUGGCGGGGUAACGGCCCACCAAGGCAACGAUCAGUAGGGGUUCUGAGAGGAGGGUCCCCCACAUUGGAACUGAGACACGGUCCAAACUCCUACGGGAGGCAGCAGUGAGGAAUAUUGGUCAAUGGGCGGAAGCCUGAACCAGCCAAGUAGCGUGCAGGAUGACGGCCCUAUGGGUUGUAAACUGCUUUUAUACAGGAAUAAAGUUAGCCACGUGUGGUUAUUUGUAGGUACUGUAUGAAUAAGGACCGGCUAAUUCCGUGCCAGCCGCCGCCGUAA
rnacentral:rRNA from 1 species